CUUGUUGGGGUUGUAGGACUCCAAUAUGGUAGUCUGUUAGUAUAGUUGAAGGAUUUGGAAAAUUCCGCUAAAGAGGGUGAAAGCCCCGUAGACGAAAUGCUAAUAACACCUAGGAGGAUCCUGAGUACGGCGGAACACGAGAAAUUCCGUCGGAAUCCGCGGGGACCAUCCCGCAAGGCUAAAUACUCCCUAGUGACCGAUAGUGAACCAGUACCGUGAGGGAAAGGUGAAAAGCACCCCGGAAGGGGAGUGAAAUAGAUCCUGAAACCGUGUGCCUACAACAAGUCAAAGCUCGUUAAUGAGUGAUGGCGUGCCUUUUGUAGAAUGAACCGGCGAGUUACGAUUGCAUGCGAGGUUAAGUCGAAGAGACGGAGCCGCAGCGAAAGCGAGUCUGAAUAGGGCGAAUGAGUAUGUAGUCGUAGACCCGAAACCAUGUGAUCUACCCAUGUCCAGGUUGAAGGUGCGGUAAAACGCACUGGAGGACCGAACCCACGUACGUUGAAAAGUGCGGGGAUGAGGUGUGGGUAGCGGAGAAAUUCCAAACGAACUUGGAGAUAGCUGGUUCUCUCCGAAAUAGCUUUAGGGCUAGCCUCGGAAUUGAGAAUGAUGGAGGUAGAGCACUGUUUGGACUAGGGGCCCAUCUCGGGUUACCGAAUUCAGAUAAACUCCGAAUGCCAUUCAUUUAUAUCCGGGAGUCAGACUGCGAGUGAUAAGAUCCGUAGUCGAAAGGGAAACAGCCCAGACCACCAGCUAAGGUCCCAAAAUAUAUGUUAAGUGGAAAAGGAUGUGGGGUUGCACAGACAACUAGGAUGUUGGCUUAGAAGCAGCCACCAUUUAAAGAGUGCGUAAUAGCUCACUAGUCGAGUGACCCUGCGCCGAAAAUGUACCGGGGCUAAACAUAUUACCGAAGCUGUGGACUACACCAUUAGGUGUAGUGGUAGGAGAGCGUUCUAAGGGCGUUGAAGGUCGAUCGUGAGGACGGCUGGAGCGCUUAGAAGUGAGAAUGCCGGUAUGAGUAGCGAAAGACAGGUGAGAAUCCUGUCCACCGUAUGACUAAGGUUUCCUGGGGAAGGCUCGUCCGCCCAGGGUUAGUCGGGACCUAAGCCGAGGCCGAUAGGCGUAGGCGAUGGACAACAGGUUGAUAUUCCUGUACCAGUUGUUUUUGUUUGAACAAUGGAGGGACGCAGUAGGCUAAGGAAUGCAUGCGAUUGGAAGUGCAUGUCCAAGCAAUGAGUCUUGAGUAGAGUUAAAUGCUUUACUCUUUAAGGACAAGUUGUGACGGGGAGCGAAAUAAUAGUAGCGAAGUUCCUGAUGUCACACUGCCAAGAAAAGCUUCUAGUGAGAAAACAACUGCCCGUACCGUAAACCGACACAGGUAGUCGAGGAGAGUAUCCUAAGGUGAGCGAGCGAACUCUCGUUAAGGAACUCGGCAAAAUGACCCCGUAACUUCGGGAGAAGGGGUGCUGACUUCGGUCAGCCGCAGUGAAUAGGCCCAAGCGACUGUUUAUCAAAAACACAGGUCUCUGCAAAAUCGUAAGAUGAAGUAUAGGGGCUGACGCCUGCCCGGUGCUGGAAGGUUAAGAGGAGGGGUUAGCUUCGGCGAAGCUCAGAAUUGAAGCCCCAGUAAACGGCGGCCGUAACUAUAACGGUCCUAAGGUAGCGAAAUUCCUUGUCGGGUAAGUUCCGACCCGCACGAAAGGCGUAACGAUUUGGGCACUGUCUCAACGAGAGACUCGGUGAAAUUUUAGUACCUGUGAAGAUGCAGGUUACCCGCGACAGGACGGAAAGACCCCAUGGAGCUUUACUGUAGUUUGAUAUUGAGUGUUUGUACCACAUGUACAGGAUAGGUAGGAGCCGAUGAGACCGGAACGCUAGUUUCGGAGGAGGCGCUGGUGGGAUACUACCCUUGUGUUAUGAACCCUCUAACCCGCACCACUAAUCGUGGUGGGAGACAGUGUCAGAUGGGCAGUUUGACUGGGGCGGUCGCCUCCUAAAAGGUAACGGAGGCGCCCAAAGGUUCCCUCAGAAUGGUUGGAAAUCAUUCGAAGAGUGUAAAGGCAGAAGGGAGCUUGACUGCGAGACCUACAAGUCGAGCAGGGACGAAAGUCGGGCUUAGUGAUCCGGUGGUUCCGCAUGGAAGGGCCAUCGCUCAACGGAUAAAAGCUACCCUGGGGAUAACAGGCUUAUCUCCCCCAAGAGUCCACAUCGACGGGGAGGUUUGGCACCUCGAUGUCGGCUCGUCGCAUCCUGGGGCUGUAGUCGGUCCCAAGGGUUGGGCUGUUCGCCCAUUAAAGCG
rnacentral:rRNA from 1 species